AUUGAACGCUGGCGGCAGGCCUAACACAUGCAAGUCGAGCGAGCGGCGGACGGGUGAGUAAUGUCUGGGAAACUGCCUGUUGGAGGGGGAUAACUACAGGAAACGGUAGCUAAUACCGCAUACCAUCAGAUGUGCCCAGAUGGGAUUAGCUAGUAGGUGGGGUAACGGCCCACCUAGGCGACGAUCCCUAGCUGGUCUGAGAGGAUGACCAGCCACAAUGGAACUGAGAAACGGUCCAGACUCCUACGGGAGGCAGCAGUGGGGAAUAUUGCACAAUGGGCGAAAGCCUGAUGCAGCCAUGCCGCGUGUAUGAAGAAGGCCUGCGGGUUGUAAAGUACUUUCAGCGGGGAGGCGUUACCCACAGAAGAAGCACCGGCUAACUCCGUGCCAGCAGCCGCGGUAAUUC
rnacentral:rRNA from 1 species